ensembl:lncRNA
UUUUUUUUAUUUUUUUUUCUGUUGAAAUUCGUAUAGCUUAAAUUGUGUUCUAUUUUAAGUUCACUUUCUUCUGAAGGUGAGGAUCUUUGCUUUCUUAAAAAUUUUAUUAAAGUAUCCAUUGUCAGGAUAGGGGCCCCUUUGUAGAUGCUGUCUAGCCUCUUCAUGGAGAAUCGUGUCUGUCACCUGUAAAAGAAAGAAACGUCUAUUGUGGUUUCAUAUCAAGAAAUACGCUGUCAAGUAAACAAAAUGAAAAAAACCCAAACACCAAACCUUUCCACAGUUUCUUACUGAAGAUUAUGAUUUUUCUCUCUCCUUAUAGCACAAAAACUUUAGUAAAGGUAUUUCUGGUUGUCAUGGGGAAUGCUUUAUGACCAGAUUAGGAUGGACUUCUUUGAGAUUAAAGCUGUUAAUUUUUUUUCUUGGUGAAUGGUGGAAUUAAAAAUUGCACAUGCACAGUUCUAGAUGCAUACAGUAUACUUUUCUUUCCCCACUUAGCUAAUACCUAAGUAGCAAAUUACUGUGUACUUUCUGAUGGACAAUUGACUAAAGUGGAAAUUUUUUUCAUCAAAUUCUCCAUCAUAGUCUAUUUAUCCUUAUCUGGAAGCCUUGGAACCCAAGAAGACUUGACUUGUGUUUGUGAUGCGUAUGGAUGCGAGCUUGAGUUGGGUAUUAGUUUCAUGACUAAAUGCAUAAAAAUGAUUAGAAAUGGAAGCCCUAGAGUAUUCUGCUCUUUUUACAGUGCCAGGAUAGUUUCAUUCUUCUUCCAAGAUAGGCUGCUGAAGGAUUGCUAUCUUAAUUGUAUAAUGUAUGCAAAAAAAAAAAAAAAAAAAAAAUCAUUUACUUAGAAAUGGGAGAAGAAUGUGAAUAAACCCAAGUGUUUAACUUAAAUUUUUGUUUGAAGCCAAAUAGUGGAAUUACUGAUUCUUGGACCUCUUUACCAUUUGCUUUAUCUCCUUGUGCAAUAUAUUAAGGAUGGUGAACAUAGUUUUCUAACAUGUUCUAGUUGUACUGACUAAAGUGAUUUGUGAUUGAAACACAGCUUGCUCCCAAUUGGUCAAUGCAUUUUAAUCCUGGAUAUUGCAUCUUCGUUGAAUAAUGGUUGUUUGCUAAGGCUGUUUGAUUUCAAGUGCAUGUAAACUUUUUUGCUUUUGUCUUUUAAACACGGAUUUGGAUUUAGCCAAUAACAAAAAAAAAGGGUUUUGCCUGUGGAGUGUCAUAGCUUGACAUCAUCUAAAUGCUUAGAUAGCAGUGCUUUUGAGGCUGCAGUAGUUCAACAAUUUCAUGCACAUUUUUAGUAGACGGCUUUCCCUUCCAACUCACUUGUUGUGGUACUGAUCUGAAACUCCAUGUCGUCAUCUCUUGCACAAAUAGAAGGCACUGAUUCAUGAUAAUUACAACAACUUCAAACUCUUGCAUCUGACGUUACCUAAGCUAGAUGGCAGUACUUGUCAAUCUGCUGUCUUUCAAAAGUAAAAAUGUAUUUGUUCAAUUUUUGAUCUGUUACUGGGAGUUUCAUGCUUAACAAAUUUAGAAUGCGUUCCACGUAUUUCAUGCGUCUCUGAAAUUCUCUUAAAUGGAAAUUGGUUGAUCUCAAGUGUUACAGGGAAAUCCUUACUCAUCACAUACAAUGAAAAAGAAUGCAAAGGCAUGUAUUAUCUGCUUCUAUAUCAGAAGGCUAAAAGAUAUUCACAGCUUUCAGUGCUGGAGAUGAGAUAUGAUCAAUCCUAGCGUUCAGAUCAGUAACUUUGUUCAAGAAAUUAACCUUUGUUUGCAGAACAAACUCUUCAGGGCAUUGCCUUGAUCUUUCUAUUCCAUUUUCAAACCAGCUUUAAAUUUGGUAGCUACAGCACUAACUUAAGUGAUCGCCAGACCUCAGAGCAGUUCUAGAUAAUGGUUUCAGUAGUAUGUCUCAAAGGUGACUUUGUUUAAUGUUGAUGACAUCUGAAUUAACUCUCCUUUAACAUUCCUUUUACUUUAAUUCUGCUCAAUUUUUUGUGAUCCUUCUACUGUUAGAAAAAAAAUAUACAGGUAAUGAUUGUUUGUGUUUAGAAUACAGCUUUUUUUUACUCAGUAAUUGAGAAUUACUGAUAGAAAAGUGGUAGAUUUUUUUUAAAGACUGGAUCAUGAUUAGAUAUGGCUGUAUAAACAUUGCUGUACUUCAAUUGAGCAACAUAUGUCAUUGACUGGUGCAAUUUAUUUCAGUGGUAAAGUUAUCUGUCUGAAGUUGUCCUUGAUUUGUUUUUUUUUAUUUGUAUCUUAACUUGAUGCUGCCCAAUUAUUUUCAGACUUGAAGUAAUUUGAAGUUAAGGUCAGUAUGUCCAGUCUUACAAAGGUCAGUCUUCAGUUGUCAGCCAUCAGCCCAUUAUUACUGGAUUUAAUUAAAAUUAGUCUUCUGCAGAAACAUCCAUCUUGAAUAUUUGUACUAGCUUAUUAGUUUGUUGGUAGAAUGGAUUUCUGGAGGUCUAUGGGUGAAAGGCAGAGAGCUGAAGUGAACCAGGUAACCUGUGUUCUUUUAUCAGCUUUGAAAUCCAUCUCCCAAUAGAAUUGAGUCUCCCCAGGGGAAUGUAGAUGUACCUUACUGCUUGGAACUUUGUAGUUAAUUAUAUUUGGCUCUCUAAUUCUAAUAACUGCAUGUGCGCCGUGCUUGCUUGCUUUUCAAUAUCUGACAAGAGCUAUGGGAGUUCUUAGGGGUUUGUUGAAAAAAAUUUAUGUAACAACAACCAAAAAAAGACUGACGAUAAUUCUGCCAGGUUGUUGAACCAACAUCCCAGCUUUUGAUCUGAAAGGCUCGUUUUGUGUAAUGAAUUGCGUAGCAUGUGUGUUUUCACACUGCUCUUCUGCAAGCAACAAAAAAAAUUAAAUUGCCCUAUAUGUUAGCAAGGCUGUUUGGGAAGUGUCUUGCCCUGUUCUUAUUUUCAGUUUAAAAAAAUUAGUAGUAAGUGUUCAGCAUAUUAAUGCCUGACUGAGAAGAUUAGCAGAAUUUGAAUGACUUGCAUUGUUUUGUUUAAUUACAGCUUUAUAAAAAUGUAUAUAUUUGCAUAAAGCCUGUCUUUGGUUCUAGGUUGUUUUCCAAUGACAUAAUAAAAAGAGGACCAAGACAAAUGUGUACACAGUUUAAAUCUUAUUCAAAAGGCUUUACUGUUCUGGGAAGAUACGAUGUCCUCCAUGCAGAUUCUGCUCUUCCUCCUAUUUUCUUCUGUUUGUUUUUGUUAACUGAACUGAAGUAAGAAACAAAGCCCUGGGACUGACUAGUUUCUGUCUCUCUAAUGUAUACACACUAUACUUUUGACUUCAUCUACUGCAUGUUGUUAGGGCUGUACACAAGUGCAGUUGGAGUAUUUCUUUGGUGUUGUACAGCAUGAUGCAUUUCAUUCCCCUUUCUGGUUUACCUCCCAUUAGCUAUAUAUUGCUUUACAACUGGAAAAAAAAACAACAACAAAAAAACUCACAACCCAAUAUCUGAGUUUUUGGGAAUUGAGUCUUUGUUUGCAUAUUUUUUUUCUGUGAGUCUUAUGAGAAAUGUCCUGCUUGGAGAGUCUCAGACAGUAUUUUCUUGUGUUUAUUCAUGUUGUUUUGCUUUAUUUUAUAAGUGGAUAUUGAUUUCUGAUGUGUUGUUACACUUAAUGUUGAAUAAAUCUUACUUCCAUUUUGAAAAGUGAAAA